UACGUAGGGCGCAAGCGUUGUCCGGAAUUAUUGGGCGUAAAGAGCUCGUAGGCGGCCUGUCACGUCCGCUGUGAAAUCCCGGGGCUCAACCCCGGGCCUGCAGUGGAUACGGGCUGGCUGGAGGCAGGCAGGGGAGAACGGAAUUCCUGGUGUAGCGGUGAAAUGCGCAGAUAUCAGGAGGAACACCGGUGGCGAAGGCGGCAUCCUGGACCAACACUGACGCUGAGACGCGAAAGCGUGGGGAGCAAACAGG
rnacentral:rRNA from 1 species